UGCAUAGAUCGAUCACCAAAGACGGGGACCGCAAGGCCUGUCGCAUAUAGAUGAGCCUGCGUACCAUCAGCUAGUUGGUAGGGUAAUGGCCUACCAAGGCUAAGACGGUUAGCUGGUCUGAGAGGACGACCAGCCACAUUGGGACUGAGACACUGCCCAGACUCCUACGGGAGGCUGCAGUCGAGAAUAUUUAGCAAUGGACGAAAGUCUGACUAUGCGACGCCGCGUGCAGGAUGAAGGUCUUCGGAUUGUAAACUGCUUUUGUUAGGGGAGAAACCUGUGCCAUUAAUAGUGGUACAGCUGACGGUACCUGACGAAUAAGCCACGGCAAAGCCUGUGCCAGCAGCCGCGGUAAUACAGGCGUGGCAAGCGUUACUCGGAAUUAUUGGGUGUAAAGGGCAGGUAGGUGGCCCGGUAAGUGAGAGGUGAAAUCCUGCGGUUCAAUCGCAGAACUGCCUUUCAAACUGCCAGGCUUGAGAAAGAUAGAGGAAGACGGAAUUUCCGGUGU
rnacentral:rRNA from 1 species